rnacentral:rRNA from 1 species
GACAGAGGGUGCAAACGUUGUUCGGAAUCACUGGGCGUAAAGCGCGUGUAGGCGGCCCUGCAAGUCGGAUGUGAAAUCCCACGGCUCAACCGUGGAAGUGCAUUCGAAACUGCAGGGCUAGAGUCCUGGAGAGGAAGGUGGAAUGCUUGGUGUAGAGGUGAAAUUCGUAGAUAUCAAGCGGAACACCGGUGGCGAAGGCGGCCUUCUGGACAGUGACGUGACGCUGAGACGCGAAAGCGUGGGGAGCAAACAGGG